UCUGUGGAGGGCUAGUGGUUAGGACUCAGCUCUCACCACCGUGGCCCGGGUUCGAUUGCCGGCCAGGGAA
rnacentral:tRNA from 1 species